ensembl:lncRNA
CCCUUUCCUCCUCCCAGAGCCUGGGGCUAAAAUUAAAGGGACAAAUUUAGGAUGGGUGGAUGCCUUGUCUUCUCUCCUUGUCCGACAUUUUAGGUACUAUUUUCUUUUAGCUUUUCUUGAAAUCAUAAAAGUAUAAUACUAGUUACAAAUUGAAAGAAUAAACAAAUAAAAUUUAAGUUUCUGGAAAAAUCAGGGGUGGGGGUGGGGGUUGGAGGUUAAGUUAGAGGUAGAUGAAAAUCAGCUAUAUUAGAGAACCUGGGAAGGUGAGCGGGCUUGGAAACUUGAUAGAUCUAAUAAUUUAUUGGCUCAGGAUUUGUCAAUCACUGUAGCCCAGCAAAUGAAAUUAGAGCAGAGUCGUAGGGAGGAAGGGAGUGACUCAGCAAACUAUAUGCACCAAGAAAAUCUAGUCAGGAGACGUCUGCGUAAUCAUACUGUGGCACCAUUUUUUUCUUGCGGCACUAGCUGCUUGCGAAGGAGGUCCGCCCACUGCAGCUCUCUGCAGUCCCUGGAUGGUUCCUGCAAGACCGACCAUCGCCUUCUCUGCACUCCAGCCCAGGGCACCAUUGCCUCCUCCCGCUUCUCGCGGCCUCAGCACAGCCUUCAUCCCGGCAGCAGCCUCAACCAUUACUCUUGCAGCCUGCCACCACUGCGCAUUCCACCUCUGUCCCAGCCGCCGCUGCUUCUGCUUUUCCGGUGAUUGUGAUGUGAUCCCACAGAAUUAUAAGAUGAAAGUGGAACAAAAUCUCUUCUGCUUGUGACUUAUUCCUCCAUUAUUGAACAUGCCUCCUUCGGAUUUUGGCUAAGAGAGGUAAGUUUAUAACACUGAUUUUUUUUGUUUGUUUGUUUUUUACCUCUGCCUCAUCUUUACAAUCAACUGAGGAGGAAGAUAAUGGGCUUUUUCUUUCCUUUUCCUGUCUGGAUGGGAUCCUCCUCUAAGUAUAUCUUCCUCCCAGGGUCAAUAGUAAAUGCUCACUUGCUUUUCUAUGUGGUUGCAAUAGUUGGCAGGGUAUAAGGAACUAGAGACAACUUAUUAUUAUAGGGGAACCUAAGUUGGGAAAUACAAUGUAUGCUUGAUAAAUGUAAACAUUUUCAUAGUCUUCACCACCCUCAGUCUUGACGUUUAUUAAAUUCCCAACUCCCCUUCAAACCCUUCCACAAAAGAAAGAUUGGGACCCUUUUAGUCGUUAUUGUUAUCAUGCAUUAAAAAGUCAGGAACGUGGGUGUAUCUUUCCUGCUAUUUUACAGAGGAGGAUCAGGCAUCUUGAAGUCUCUCCUUGUCCCUUUCUCUUGCCUCCAGAAGAGCGAGCAGUAAAGCUGUUUCUGGGCUUUCUGUAAGGGCAGACCAGCCCCUUUGCUUUAUCCCUCAUGUCAGUGGUGUCCAGCCAAAGACCAUCAAGGACAUACCCAUAGUUGAAUAAGCACAUGCCCAAGUUGAACAUAGGUGAACAAGCUGAACAUACCCACAGUCUCCAUCAUCUCCCCCGGGAGAACACACAUCCUGGGGAACCAUUGUGUGUUAUCAGUAAGUAAGUGUUAGAAAACAUAUUGCAGAAUUUGGGCUUUGGUUGUGUGAUUUGAUGGAGGAUCUAUGGAAGUGGGAGUUUAUUCUAUAUUGUAGGACAAUUUAAUGAUUGGUAGUUCAAUAAAUCUCUUCUAUAGGGGGGAGAUACUAGAACA